rnacentral:misc_RNA from 1 species
ACACCUCAACUCUCAUGGUUUUGCCGUGAUGAGCUUGGACUUUGGAGGUCUUGCUGGCCUGUGGUCAGCUCCUCUCAAACGAAUCAGCUUGCCAGUGUUUGGUGGCGUCACAGGUGUGAUAACUAUCUACGCUUGUGGCUUCCGCUGGGUAACCUUCAGUGAUGGAGGUUCGCUGGAGCUCAUAAACGUCUCUCCUCAGUGAGGACAGCUUCUUGAAU